GGAAUAUUGGACAAUGGGCGAAAGCCUGAUCCAGCAAUGCCGCGUGUGUGAAGAAGGCCUGCGGGUUGUAAAGCACUUUAAGCAGGGAGGAAAGGGGCUGGACUAAUAAUCCUGUCAGUUGACGUUACCUGCAGAAUAAGCACCGGCUAACUUCGUUCCAGCAGCCGCGGUAAUACGAAGGGUGCAAGCGUUAAUCGGAAUUACUGGGCGUAAAGCGCGCGUAGGCGGUUUGGUUAGUUGGAUGUGAAAGCCCAGGGAUCAACCUUGGAACUGCAUCCAAUACUGCCAGGCUAGAGUACGGGAGAGGGGGGUAGAAUUCCACGUGUAGCGGUGAAAUGCGUAGAGAUGUGGAGGAAUACCGGUGGCGAAGGCGGCCCCCUGGAUCGAUACUGACGCUGAGGUGCGAAAGCGUGGGGAGCA
rnacentral:rRNA from 1 species